rnacentral:rRNA from 1 species
UUGAACGCUGGCGGCAGGCCUAACACAUGCAAGUCGCGCGGAUGAAGGGAGCUUGCUCCUGGAUUCAGCGGCGGACGGGUGAGUAAUGCCUAGGAAUCUGCCUGGUAGUGGGGGAUAACGUCCGGAAACGGGCGCUAAUACCGCAUACGUCCUGAGGGAGAAAGUGAGGGAUCUUCGGACCUCACGCUAUCAGAUGAGCCUAGGUCGGAUUAGCUAGUUGGUGGGGUAAAGGCCUACCAAGGCGACGAUCCGUAACUGGUCUGAGAGGAUGAUCAGUCACACUGGAACUGAGACACGGUCCAGACUCCUACGGGAGGCAGCAGUGGGGAAUAUUGGACAAUGGGCGAAAGCCUGAUCCAGCCAUGCCGCGUGUGUGAAGAAGGUCUUCGGAUUGUAAAGCACUUUAAGUUGGGAGGAAGGGCAGUAAGUUAAUACCUUGCUGUUUUGACGUUACCAACGGAAUAAGCACCGGCUAACUUCGUG